UGUGACAAUGCAUGGUGUCUUGCUAGUUCU
rnacentral:piRNA from 1 species